rnacentral:rRNA from 1 species
ACCCCACUGCUAUCGGGAUAGGACUAAGACAUGCUAGUCGAGCGCUUCAAGCCAAAAAGAGGCGCGGCAUACAGCUCAGUAACACGUGGCUAAUCUGCCCUUGGGAUAGGAACACCCCCGGGAAACUGGGGCUAAUUCCCAAUAGGCGAGGAACUCUGGAAUGAGUCUUUACCAGAAAAGACGUUUACGUUAUGCUCGUAGGCGUCGCCCAAGGAUGAGGCCGCGACCGAUCAGGUUGUUGGUGAGGUAAUGGCUCACCAAGCCUUUUACCGGUGCGGGCCGUGAGAGCGGGAGCCCGGAGAUGGGCACUGAGACAAGGGCCCAGGUCCUACGGGGCGCAGCAGUCGCGAAAACUUUGCAAUACACGAAAGUGUGACAGGGUCAUCCCGAGUGCCGACCGCUGAGGUUGGCUUUUACCCAGUCUAGAAAGCUGGGGGAAUAAGGAGAGGGCAAGUCUGGUGUCAGCCGCCGCGGUAAUACCAGCUCUCCGAGUGGUGUGGACGUUUAUUGGGCCUAAAGCAUCCGUAGCUGGCUGAACAAGUCCCCUGUUAAACCCACCGAUUUAAUCGUUGGCGUGCGGGGGAUACUGCUCGGCUAGGGGACGAGAGAGGCAGACGGUAUUCCCGGGGUAGGGGUGAAAUCCUAUAAUCCCGAGAAGACCACCAGUGGCGAAGGCUGUCUGCUAGAACGCGCCCGACGGUGAGGGAUGAAAGCUGGGGGAGCGAACCGGAUUAGAUACCCGGGUAGUCCCAGCUGUAAACGAUGCAGACUAGGUGUUUGGACGGCCACGUGCCGUUCUAGUGCCGCAGGGAAGCUGUUAAGCCUGCCGCCUGGGGAGUACGAUCGCAAGAUUGAAACUUAAAGGAAU